rnacentral:rRNA from 1 species
AUUGAAUGCUGGCGGCAUGCCUUACACAUGCAAGUCGAACGGUAACAGGUCUUCGGAUGCUGACGGGUGGCGAACGGGUGAGUAAUACAUCGGAACGUGCCUAGUAGUGGGGGAUAACUACUCGAAAGAGUGGCUAAUACCGCAUGAGAUCUACGGAUGAAAGCAGGGGAUCGCAAGACCUUGUGCUACUAGAGCGGCCGAUGGCAGAUUAGGUAGUUGGUGGGAUAAAAGCUUACCAAGCCGACGAUCUGUAGCUGGUCUGAGAGGACGAUCAGCCACACUGGGACUGAGACACGGCCCAGACUCCUACGGGAGGCAGCAGUGGGGAAUUUUGGACAAUGGGCGCAAGCCUGAUCCAGCAAUGCCGCGUGCAGGAUGAAGGCCUUCGGGUCGUAAACUGCUUUUGUACGGAACGAAAAGCCUUGGGUUAAUACCCUGGGGUCAUGACGGUACCGUAAGAAUAAGCACCGGCUAACUACGUGCCAGCCGCCGCGGUAAUAC